GGUUCGAUCAUGGCUCAGAUUGAACGCUGGCGGGAUGCUUUACACAUGCAAGUCGAACGGCAGCACGGACUUCCGGUCUGGUGGCAGUGGCGAACGGGUGAGUAAUGUAUCGGAACGUGCCUAGUAGCGGGGAUAACUACGCGAAAGCGUAGCUAAUACCACAUACGCCCUUCGAGAAAGCGGGGGACCUUCGGGCCUCGCACUAUUAGAGCAGCCGAUAUCGGAUAAGCUAGUUGGUGGGGUAACGGCUCACCAAGGCGACGAUCCGUAGCUGGUUUGAGAGGACGACCAGCCACACUGGGACUGAGACACAGCCCAGACUCCUACGGGAGGGCAGCAGUGGGGAAUUUUGGACAAUGGGGGGAAACCUGAUCCAGCCAUCCCGCGUGUGCGAUGAAGGCCUUCGGGUUGUAAAGCACUUUUGGCAGGAAAGAAACGGCACGGGAUAGCCCCGUGCAACUGACGGUACCUGCAGAAUAAGCACCGGCUAACUACGUGCCAGCAGCCGCGGUAAUACCGUGGAGUGCAAGCGUUAAUCGGAAUUACUGGGCGUAAAGCGUGCGCAGGCGGUUCGGAAAGAAGAUGUGAAAUCCCAGAGCUUAACUUUGGAACUGCAUUUUUAACUACCGAGCUAGAGUGUGUCAGAGGGGAGGUGGAAUUCCCGCGAUGUAGCAGUGAAAUGCGUAGAUAUGCGGAGGAACACCGAUGGCGAAGGCCUCCUGGGAUAACACUGACGCUCAUGCACGAAAGCAGUAGAGAGCAAACAGGAUUAGAUACCUGGUAGUCCACGCCUAAACGAUGUCAACUAGCUGUUGGGGCCUUCGGGCCUUGGUAGCGCAGCUAACGCGUGAAGUUGACCGCCUGGGAGAUGCGGUCACAAGAUUAAAACUCAAAGGAAUUGACGGGGACCCGCACAAGCGGUGGAUGAUGUGGAUUAAUUCGAUGCAACGCGAAAAACCUUACCUACCGCUUGACAUGUCUGGAAUCCCGAAGAGAUUUGGGAGUGUGCUCGCAAGAGAACGGAACACAGGUGCUGCAUGGCUGUCGUCAGCUCGUGUCGUGAGAUGUUGGGUUAAGUCCAUAGCGAGCGCAACCCUUGUCAUUAGUUGCUACGAAGGGGCACUCUAAUGAGACUGCCGGUGACAAACCGGAGGAGGUGGGGAUGACGUCAAGAUCCGCCAUGGCCCUUAUGGGUAGGGCUUCACACGUCAUACAAUGGUCGGGACAGAGGGUCGCCAACCCGCGAGGGGGAGCCAAUCCCAGAAACCCGAUCGUAGUCCGGAUCGCAGUCUGCAACUCGACUGCGUGAAGUCGGAAUCGCUAGUAAUCGCGGAUCAGCAUGUCGCGGUGAAUACGUUCCCGGGUCUUGUACACACCGCCCGUCACACCAUGGGAGUGGGUUUUACCAGAAGUAGUUAGCCCUAACCGUAAGGAGGGCGAUUACCACAUUAGGAUUCAUGACUGGGGGUGAAGUCGUAACAAGGUAG
rnacentral:rRNA from 1 species